rnacentral:rRNA from 1 species
GACGUAGGGCGCGAGCGUUUUCCGGAUUUAUUGGGCGUAAAGAGCUCGUAGGCGGUUUGUCGCGUCGUCUGUGAAAACCCACGGCUCAACUGUGGGCUUGCAGUCGAUACGGGCAGGCUAGAGUUCGGUAGGGGAGACUGGAAUUCCUGGUGUAGCGGUGAAAUGCGCAGAUAUCAGGAGGAACACCGGUGGCGAAGGCGGGUCUCUGGGCCGAAACUGACGCUGAGGCGCGAAAGCGUGGGGAGCAAACAGG